rnacentral:rRNA from 1 species
UACGUAGGUGGCGAGCGUUGUCCGGAUUUACUGGGCGUAAAGGGAGCGUAGGCGGACUUUUAAGUGAGAUGUGAAAUACUCGGGCUCAACUUGAGUGCUGCAUUUCAAACUGGAAGUCUAGAGUGCAGGAGAGGAGAAUGGAAUUCCUAGUGUAGCGGUGAAAUGCGUAGAGAUUAGGAAGAACGCCAGUGGCGAAGGCGAUUCUCUGGACUGUAACUGACACUGAGGCUCGAAAGCGUGGGGAGCAAACAGG